UCCUUGGUGGUCUAGUGGUUAGGAUCCGGUGCUCUUACCGCUGCAGCCCAGGUUUGAUUCCCGGUCAGGGAG
rnacentral:tRNA from 1 species